GGAGUUAAGAAAUGUAGGUACGCUAAUAUCGUAUCUAUUUGACAAAGGCUCCAAAGGAAGCCACGGCUAACUCUGUGCCAGCAGCCGCGGUAAUACAGAGGUGGCAAGCGUUGUUCGGAAUUAUUGGGCGUAAAGAGCACGUAGGUGGAUUUGUAAGUCAGAUGUGAAAGCCUUCUGUUCAACGGGAGAAUUGCAUCUGAAACUACAGACCUUGAGUAUAGGAGGGGAGAGUGGAACUUCUGGU
rnacentral:rRNA from 1 species